rnacentral:rRNA from 1 species
UGGGGAAUAUUGCACAAUGGGCGCAAGCCUGAUGCAGCCAUGCCGCGUGUGUGAAGAAGGCCUUCGGGUUGUAAAGCACUUUCAGCGGGGAGGAAGGCGAUAAGGUUAAUAACCUUGUCGAUUGACGUUACCCGCAGAAGAAGCACCGGCUAACUCCGUGCCAGCAGCCGCGGUAAUACGGAGGGUGCAAGCGUUAAUCGGAAUUACUGGGCGUAAGGCGCACGCAGGCGGUCUGUCAAGUCGGAUGUGAAAUCCCAGGGCUUAACCUGGGAACUGCAUUCGAAUCUGGCAGGCUAGAGUAGUGUAGAGGGGGGUAGAAUUCCAGGUGUAGCGGUGAAAUGCGUAGAGAUCUGGAGGAAUACCGGCGGCGAAGGCGGCCCCCUGGACAAAGACUGACGCUCAGGUGCGAAAGCGUGGGGAGCAAACAGG